rnacentral:rRNA from 1 species
CCUACGGGCGGCAGCAGUGGGGGAUAUUGCACAAUGGGGGGAACCCUGAUGCAGCGACGCCGCGUGGGUGAAGGAGUGCUUCGGCAUGUAAAGCCCUAUCGGCAGGGAAGAAGCAAGACGGUACCUGACUAAGAAGCCCCGGCUAACUACGUGCCAGCAGCCGCGGUAAUACGUAGGGGGCGAGCGUUAAUCGGAAUUACUGGGCGUAAAGCGCUCGUAGGCGGUAUGUCAAGUCAAGGGUGAAAUCCCCGCGCUCAACGUGGGAACUGCCUUUGAAACUGGCAAACUGGAGUGUGUGAGAGGAUAGUGGAAUUCGUGGUGUAGCGGUGAAAUGCGUAGAUAUUAGGAGGAACACCAGUUGCGAAGGCGGAUUGCUGGACAGUAACUGACGCUGAGGCGCGAAAGCGUGGGGAGCAAACAGGAUUAGAUACCCUUGUAGUC